rnacentral:tRNA from 1 species
GUCAGGGUGGCCGAGUGGUCUAAGGCGCCAGACUCAAGUUCUGGUCCACAAAUGUGGGCGUGGGUUCGAACCCCACUCCUGACA